AUGGCUUUACUUUGCCAAUGCAGAUUAUCUCCACAGGCUGGCUGUACCCUGGGCAGUUCUCUGGAAAGGGCCAGUAGCUGCCAUAUCACGGACUGGCCAGGAUCUCCACUACCUCAGACCAGUCUCUGGAAGCACAUCCCUCUGAAAGAUGCUACCUCUGGCCAACAAACUGUAACAUCCAGUGCUCAUACAGACAUUUAGGCGUUUAUACAGAGAUGAAGCAGUUCCAACAGAACUCCAGGAG
rnacentral:lncRNA from 1 species